UUCCAGCUCCAAUAGCGUAUAUUAAAGUUGUUGCGGUUAAAAAGCUCGUAGUUGAAUUUGUGUCCCGCACUGUCGGUUCACCGCCCGCGGUGCUAACUGGCAUGUUUGCGGGACGUCCUGCCGGUGGAUGUUCAGUAGUGAUUGACUUUCGGGUCUUUUACUAUUUCAUCCGACUUAUAAUCCUGUCGCGGUGCUCUUAACUGAGUGUCGAGGCGGGCCGGCACGUUUACUUUGAACAAAUUAGAGUGCUCAAAGCAGGCUAAUUAAUGCCUGAAUAAUUAGUGCAUGGAAUAAUGAAACAGGACCUUGGUUCUAUUUUGUUGGUUUCCGGAACCCCAAGGUAAUGAUUAAUAGGGACAGAUGG
rnacentral:rRNA from 1 species